UUUCCCCAUUUUUUUUUUCUAUUUCAAAAUUCAAAUUUAUCUUACAAUUUACUUUAAAAUUUAUAUUAUGUCAAUUUUCAAAAAUCUAACAAUCUACUCCUACAACAUUCCUGGCCUACUUUCAAAAACAACUAUACUUAGGAAACUCCUUGAUCAAUAUGAUAUUAACAUUAUUUUAACACAAGAAUCUUUUAUUACCAAUUAUAUAUAAAAAAAAAUAGAAAACAAAACAAAAAAGAGAAAACAAAACAAAAAAAAAUAAAUAAAUUACAAAAACUAAUUCUUCUUCCUCUUACUCCUUAAUCACCCCACCUCCUCCUCUUUUUUCUAAUACAUAUUCCUAUCUUAUCUUUUAUAAUAAAUAAACAUUAUUUACAAUGUGGAUCCUGGCUUAUCCACGAGUGGUACCCGUCAUCCCACUCAAAUGAAACGGGACACUGACAGUAGGGUAAAUUACUGUCAACUUUGUGGAUCCUGGCUUAUCCACGAGUGGUACCUGUCAUCCCACUCAAAUUAAACAGGACCCAGACAGUAGGGUAAAUUUUCUGCCAAACAGUGAAUGCAAAUUCACUGCACUGGAGACGCCCUCUAUGGGGUGGUGGAGUGCCCACUUAAAUGUGGGAUGUCUCCCCAGUGUAUAAUAUGAUAUGAUUAUGAACUCAAAUUAUAAUGAUAUAUAUGACUUCCUAAAAUGUUCUAACACCGCCUUCAAGAUUAUAGAAAAUCAAUUAUUCUAUGGGGAAAAUUAUCAUAUAAAGAUGGUCUAAAGCCUCCCAAACGUUGUCGGGAUGUAGACUAUGGGAAACAACUUGGUGAACCCACCAUCCUGGUGCAAAUUGAAGGUGAUGGGAAUUGUUUUUAUAGGGCGAUUAGUGUAGAGCUUACUGGAGCUCAAAAUUUCCAUGUUAUUCUCAGGCAAUGGUUGGCACAAUUUAUGCUAACAUCCGAGAUGGGAAAGGUAAUUGAAAAUUAUCUUUACGACACGAACAAAAAAAUAGACAUAAAAACUUAUGUCUUAAAUAAUGUAAUGACACAGCAGAUAUGGGCUUCUGACACAGAAGUCAGGGCGAUGGCCACAAUGUUAAAUACGGCUAUUUUUACUUAUAUAAAAUAUAAUAAUUUUGUAUGGGCCCGAUAUGACCCAUUUUAUAUUCGCUACAAUAUUAAAAUAUUUAAUAAUAAUUUUAUUUAUAU